rnacentral:rRNA from 1 species
AUUGAACGCUGGCGGCAGGCCUAACACAUGCAAGUCGGACGGUAGCACAGAGGAGCUUGCUCUUCGGGUGACGAGUGGCGGACGGGUGAGUAAUGUCUGGGGAUCUGCCCGAUAGAGGGGGAUAACCACUGGAAACGGUGGCUAAUACCGCAUAACGUCGCAAGACCAAAGAGGGGGACCUUCGGGCCUCUCACUAUCGGAUAAACCCAGAUGGGAUUAGCGAGUAGGCUGGGUAACGGCCCACCUAGGCGACGAUCCCUAGCUGGUCUGCGAGCAUGACCAGCCACACUGGAACUGAGACCCGGUCCAGACUCCUACGGGAGGGAGCACUGGGGAAUAUUGCACAAUGGGCGCAAGCCUGAUGCAGCCAUGCCGCGUGUAUGAAGAAGGCCUUCGGGUUGUAAAGUACUUUCAGCGGGGAGGAAGGCGGUGAAGUUAAUACCUUCACCGAUUGACGUUACCCGCAGAAGAAGCACCGGCUAACUCCGUGUCAGCCGUCGCAGUAA